rnacentral:rRNA from 1 species
GAUGAACGCUGGCGGCGUGCCUAAUACAUGCAAGUCGAGCGAACGGACGAGAAGCUUGCUUCUCUGAUGUUAGCGGCGGACGGGUGAGUAACACGUGGAUAACCUACCUAUAAGACUGGGAUAACUUCGGGAAACCGGAGCUAAUACCGGAUAAUAUUUUGAACCGCAUGGUUCAAAAGUAAAAGACGGUCUUGCUGUCACUUAUAGAUGGAUCCGCGCUGCAUUAGCUAGUUGGUAAGGUAACGGCUUACCAAGGCAACGAUGCAUAGCCGACCUGAGAGGGUGAUCGGCCACACUGGAACUGAGACACGGUCCAGACUCCUACGGGAGGCAGCAGUAGGGAAUCUUCCGCAAUGGGCGAAAGCUUGACGGAGCAACGCCGCGUGAGUGAUGAAGGUCUUCGGAUCGUAAAACUCUGUUAUUAGGGAAGAACAUAUGUGUAAGUAACUGUGCACAUCUUGACGGUACCUAAUCAGAAAGCCACGGCUAACUACGUG